rnacentral:lncRNA from 1 species
AUCAUAGCUGUUCGUACGGAUAAAAAGCCACCAAUGACAACUCCCCUAACGCCUUAGGCUUUCCGAUUAAAGCAGUUUUUGAUGUCGUGCUUCUCUUUCGUGUGACCUCGUCACUUUCGGCUUGGCAAUUGAUAGGACGACCCAGUUUAUAUGAAUGAGAUACAGAGACCCUCGGGCGCACGGGUAUACGUACACAGGAUCUAACAAUGGGCAAUUUAGUGCUCAACAGUUACAGCAACUAAUGGAGGGCAGUUAUCGAUAAUGUGUUGACUUUGAAACGAUUUUUGCUGCACAGGCGGACAUACGCAUGAUGGUCCCGGUGAGGCAAAAUAUUGUUCCAUAUUUUGCUUCUUUUAUUUAUGUCUAGCAACCAUGGAUGCAAACUGCGAUAUUUCAUACGAACUUCUACACUAUUGCUAAUUGUUCUGUUGUUUGUUCUAUUGUAGUAAUAUACAAAAAACCGCGUGCAUGCCGUGUUUGACGGAGCAGAUCCAUGGGUACAUAUACAUAUCACUAAACGAAGCGUACCUGAACGGAAAGCUAGGCUCAUUCACGUGUAUCGUCAAGCGCCGACAUAUCAGAAUUCAGCCGUUCUAUAUAGUGUUGAUAUAGAGUAACAAGUUUGCUAGUAUUUACUAGAGAGGUAGAGUACACUUACUACCGGUAGUAAGUAGCCAUCUCAUACGCUGAAGCAAGUAGAUGUUAUCCACCGUAGGCUGGAUUCGUAACUUUCAAUAUUCAUUGAAGGUCGCUAGCUCUUCAAGCCGUUACCAUGGUAGCCAUGGGCAUGCAGCCGCCGUCUGUUCAAAUUUCGGAGUUGGCAAGUAGGUACUAUGGCAUAUUGUUAUCAUGCCGCUUCGUAGAAGAAAACCCCAGACAAAUCAAACGAUACACGCCAAGAAUAGUACCUAAUGGCCCGAAUAUCAGACAUGAAAAAGUCAACAUUUGUGGAAAAAUUGACUACAGCCAAAGCGCAAUCGGGUUUCAUUCAUACGGAACGAAAUGGAAGUAAGGCUAAAGUAAGGCUAAUUUGUGUUUCAUUCAAGAACUAACUCUACGCUAAAAAAGUCAUUUCUCAAGAUUCGACCCAAAGUCACGGGUUACCGUGAACAGGAGCAACAUCGCUGGUAAGGCAAGCGCGUUCCAUUUGGGCAACUCAUGCAUAGAAUGGCUGUGUUAAAACGCACGCGUGAAAACGCUGGGCAAACCAAGUUAGUUGCUCGGCACAAAUUCAGCAUUUAUAUAUAUUGCCAGUCGUAAAUGCGGGCUUUCCGGAUUCCAAGGGCAGGAAGAAGGCAAGGAAAAAAAACUGCGAACUAUACGAGCUACUACUACUGUUAACAAAAUUGGACGCGGCACCAAAUAUCUUAACAACCGACCAAAUUAUCAUAGUCCCCUUUAUUUAUUAUCACGUCAUCUAGUAACGCUCAUGACGAGUGCCCAAAAGUUCGCUAGAAAAUGCUCCACUUACCCAUCGUUUGCUGUUUAUGUUUACAGUGGCACAAUGACUUUCUGCCUGUACUGAUUCUGAAGGGGUCUAUGAUCCUGCGGCUAAUCCCAUAAAACCUAUAUCCAUUUACAAACAGCUAAAUAAAUGUUUCGAGAUUUACGUUCAGCACUGCCGCUUGGCGUUGCUUCAGAUGAGUGUGCCUCCUUUCAACACGAAAUGAGACGUAUCUACGCCCAGUUUCAAACCUAAGCCAUCUCACGCUUUUCUAAAUCUAGAUGUGCACCGUCCCUGGGAACCACGUACAUACCGCUAACACCCCCCGUGUUGACAUGACGCUAAAGCUUUAAACCAUUCUGAAGGCUUCUACCCUGUAGAAGCUAUGCAGCGCAUAGCUUCCGUUAUAGAGCAACCUUUGUCUUUGAUCUUACUUUAUAUUCAAUUGUUUUUCAUUGGAAACAAGGAAACCUUCAUAAGCAACUGAGCCAUAAUUCAAAACCGGCAAUUAUCCAAAUGCUUUCCCUUCUAAUUAACCUAAAUGCGCGAUCGCAUCCUGACCUUGUGCUAGAUGUCCUGCUUGUUGACUGGCUGGCUUAACACUGUUUUGUGGUUAUAGGCUCUAAAUGAUUGGGUCAGUUUUAACAUCUCUGAUAUACUGGUUAGUGAAUAUUGUCGUAGUGUAUAUGGGGGGCUAACCGCGUUUAGCGGUGCUUUUUGUCUAUCGAAGUUCAUCGAUUGAUCAGUCAAAAAUUGGGUAAAAAAUCUCCGAUAUGUUUCAACAAUUGUGUGUGUUCCAAAAGAAGACAAUGAGGAACACGAUGAACUAGCCGGGUCACAGAAAAAGCUCGGGUGGUUCAUGGCGUAUGAGAACUCGAAAGAUCGAAACUGGCGUUUAAACUGUUCAAAAACUAAAUCACAUGCGCCUAGAGUGAUCGAUCAGAUACCAGCACUUGUUAGAUUAUAAAUGUCAGCCAUAUAUAUAUAUACUGCGCGACAUAAAAAGUUUAAAAAAAUAGUGUCUUAUCUGAUUUAUCGAUAUCGUUGUACUAUUGUUUGUUAUGGUUCCUUACAAAUAAAGCGUCUGUAAGCAUAUUUAUGAAUCGGAUGCCUACUUAUGCCCUGGCUAAGUACGAUUCAUAAUGUCGAAUCUUUUUUGAAAAGCCCAAGUAAACAAUACUUAAU